GUUAUCUGUACUGUCCAUACCCUCACUUCUUCCAUUUAUCUGAUCUAAGUGCUCUGAAAAACUGCCAACUAUACAAAGAAGAAAGGAUAAACACAUUGAGGGAAAACGGGGGGUCAGGGAGGAGAAAUGGUACAACUGUGACAUAGGAUUUUUUCUUUCGAGUUCAUAAAACAACAUUACAGAAAUCUGAGUAAUUUUUCUGCACUCAAGAAUGAAUAAACGUUAACAAAAUGAAUUGAAGCAACAGUUUU